AGUUUGAGGUUACGUUAAGCAAAGUGUGGCGAACCAUAGAGAAAGUAAAAUAUUUUUUAUUUUUUAAAAUUAUUUUACUUACUCUAUGGUGGCGAACUCUAUCCGCCACUUCUCAACUGGCAGCAGAGACCACAAAAUAUCCCCCUUUCAGAGAAAUAGUAUACUAUUUACUCUGAGUAUGAAAUGAUGAUCAUUAUGGGGUUUCAGUGUUAUGCCUAAUAAGCCUUGUUCUAUGGUGUUAUGUGAGUGAAUUAGAAGCUAACUUGUGUGCCAAUAAAACCAGCCUCCUGUAAAGAAGUGUUUUCACUCAGUGACAGUGCUCAAUAAAUAUGGUAAUGUUUCUUCGGUCUGUUUUAAAAUUAAGCCGUACAUGGGAAGUGAGUGGAGACCUUUGCCGCCGACAUUGUACAUUUGCUUCUGUUCACUUUCGAAAUGUAUUUAGUGACUGUCGACUCUCUGUAUUCACAUUUACCUAUAGAGAAUAAACGCGGCUUCGCUUUUUGGAAA